UUAAAACUCAAAGGAAUUGACGGGGACCCGCACAAGCGGUGGAUGAUGUGGAUUAAUUCGAUGCAACGCGAAAAACCUUACCUACCCUUGACAUGUACGGAAUCCCUGAGAGAUUAGGGAGUGCUCGAAAGAGAACCGUAACACAGGUGCUGCAUGGCUGUCGUCAGCUCGUGUCGUGAGAUGUUGGGUUAAGUCCCGCAACGAGCGCAACCCUUGUCAUUAGUUGCUACGAAAGGGCACUCUAAUGAGACUGCCGGUGACAAACCGGAGGAAGGUGGGGAUGACGUCAAGUCCUCAUGGCCCUUAUGGGUAGGGCUUCACACGUCAUACAAUGGUACAUACAGAGGGCCGCCAACCCGCGAGGGGGAGCUAAUCCCAGAAAGUGUAUCGUAGUCCGGAUUGUAGUCUGCAACUCGACUACAUGAAGUUGGAAUCGCUAGUAAUCGCGGAUCAGCAUGUCGCGGUGAAUACGUUCCCGGGUCUUGUACACACCGCCCGUCACACCAUGGGAGCGGGUUUCACCAGAAGUAGGUAGCCUAACCGUAAGGAGGGCGCUUACCACGGUGGGAUUCGUGACUGGGGUGAAGUCGUAACAAGGUAGCCGUA
rnacentral:rRNA from 1 species